rnacentral:rRNA from 1 species
GACGUAGGGCGCGAGCGUUGUCCGGAUUUAUUGGGCGUAAAGGGCGCGUAGGUGGCGGCCCAAGUCCAUGGUGAAAGCUCGAUGCUCAACAUCGAGUCGGCCACGGAUACUGGGUUGCUCGAGCACUGUAGGGGCAGAUGGAAUCCGGGUGUAGCGGUGGAAUGCGUAGAGAGUCCGGAAGAACACCGGUGGCGAAGGCGGUCUGCUGGGCAGUUGCUGACACUGAGGCGCGGACAGCGUGGGGAGCAAACAGG